rnacentral:lncRNA from 1 species
UUUAACCCCUCUUCGCAAAAAAAGAACAAAGGCUUGGUGUCUACAAUAAGACGUAUAAUAACAUUACUCAUUGCACCAAAUGGAGCAAGGCCCCACUUCAAACCAAGAGUUAUUUGAAAAUAAAUGCUUGAUAAUUUGGCAAUGAUAAAGAUGCUUUUAAUAAUGAAAAAUAAAAGAAACAUAGCCUCAAACUAUGUAAUAGAAAAAUGCGGGCAUUCUCUCUAUACAAUUUUGCUAUGUUAGCUGGAACUUAGGAAACCAGGUCACGCUUUGUCCUUGAUGCAUUGUUGGUAAAUUCUCCCCUCCCACUCCUCUGGGUCCAUAGCAUUUUGUCCUUCACAGCCCCUUUAUAGGUUAGAUGCAUUGUAAUUCCUUUAUUUUUUGAAGGACCUGAAUAAACAAUGCCUUGCAAAAUGUUUGUCGUCUCUUCAGUGAUGGAGCCACUCCCUGCCAUCUCUUCUUUUUUUGAAGGGAACUGGACAAACAAUGACCAACACCAUGUUUAUGACAUGUUGGUCUACUGUAAUAGAAGUGUAAACAUGAAAUUAUGAAUCAAUUCUGGGUUGUCGUGUAAGUGGCUGACUGGAGUAGCAAAGCUUUCUCCAGGGCACCACACACAACAUGAAUAUCCUAGAUGUGUUUUCCAAGUUAUAGAAUCCGCAUGAGGUAAUCAUGUGAGUCUACUAUAUAGAAAUUGUAGGCAAAAUUCAGAAACAAAGGUAACAUGUGUAGUGAGAAAUUGGAUAACAAAAGAAAUACUUUCAACCAAGUCCAGAGGAACACAUAGUUUGCCCAGGAACUUUUCACUGAAGUAACAAUGCAAUUAUUCAUAGCAUGUUUGUUCUAGAACCAAACUAUUCUUUAGGAAAUUGUGGAGACAAAAUUAUACGAAAAAGGGAGACACUCCUACUCAACCUCAGGAAAGAACCAUCAAUGAUAUUCAGCGUUUAGCCUUCGUACAGUAAUAACAUGUGCAUAUUCAUCCUAUUUUUCUUCUACCUUACCAAAUAAACUGGCCUCAAUCUUACAAAAAUUAUUUCUUGAUCUAGUCAGCUGCUCAAAUGUGUAAAUUAAAAUUUAAGUUUCCAGCAAUAUAGAAGUCAUCUUAAAAAACAUCAGCAUACUAAAUGACGAUGGAAACAAUAACACACAACCCGCUCACAUGACCAAAAAAUAAGCAAAGUGGGGUAAAGGAACACACAAAUGCAACAUUGAGUAACUCUGGAUGAGAGGACGACCAAUCAGUCAAACAUACAUAGGAUGCACUGAAAUCGGUAAACUAUUAUUAAGCGGAAAGAGUUGUCUAAAUUUCAGAAAAAAUGACAACAGCAUCAACAUGAACAAUUCUAAGAGAAAAAUGAAAACCCAAUACCUCGGACUUUUUUAACUUUUGGCCGUGUGCAUGUUUUUUAUGCAUUCAGCAACACUAAAAGAGAGACAAAUAUGUGAGUGCACAUGCUUUGGUAUUACGAAACUACACUCAUUUCAGUUAUAGACAAUGGUAUUAGGAAACUUCACUCAUUUCGGUUAUACACAAUGCAGACCAUAAGUUGGCGACUAUACUUCCAAAGAAAGAUGAAAUUUAAAAUGUGGAGAACAAAGUAAAGAGGCAGUACACGGUAUUGAAGCAAGAAAACAGGACAUAGUGCUACUAAUUCGGCUUAUAUACAUAGCAAAUGUAGCUUAUGUACAGUAGUGGUGAAUCCAUUAUGAACAAUAAUUUAGAUUUAUGCAUAUAGUAAUGCCAAGUUUUGACAAAAUCUGUAAUUGGUAUGAUUUCCCUCCCAACUGUUAUAGAUGAGCAUACUCCUAUAUAGGACUAUUUUCAAAUUAUCUAAAUUAGACCCACAGUAAUAAAACCUAGGGGCAACCUCAACAACAACAAAAUUAUUAGAAAUAAAGACUGCAAGUUAAACAAGCCAGACGCAUCAAAUUUUAUAUCUAGUUCUGAAAUUUUCAUCAUUCCAUAUUAGUCCAGAACUCCAGAUAGUUAGUUAUUCUAGACAAACUAACUCUGCUAAUGGAUUAAAAAAACACAUAACCUUUUUACAAAUGAGUAUAAGGUUUAGUGGUUUAAACAUUUACUUCCUCAAAUGGUCCAAUACUAAUUGCUCCAAAUGACAAGUGCCAUCUUUUAAUCCCCCUUCCUAGACAAGUGGUAGAUCAUCACACUGGAACUACUAUAGGGCUCAUAGCCUCAUGCUAGAGACAAGCAAAAAUUGUUCCUGGUAAAUUCUCAGCAAACAACUGUGACAUGCCGCCUGAGCACUUCUAAUGAGGGGCUCCAGACCGCUGGCCCCCAAAUUCAUCUCUGAAAUUGAGUUCAGUAGCAUGUCGUCGCUCUCAUGAGCACUCCCGUCCAGGUGCACAAAGAAGGAAAACACGACACUUACAUUAGGAAAUACCUACAGGGUCCACGGUGUGAUUCUCCCUUAACAAUGCGGUAUGGGACCUCCCAAUUUCUUGCACAGGGCUGGGAACCACACAACCAGCUCAACUGGGUCAACAUCAUGAGCGAUGAUGACCAGCUGAGGGUUGCUCUACAGCACAAAACACAAGGAUUAAUCACGGGAAUGAUUAUUGUAGCCACAAAAAGAUGCCAUGAAUAAGAAUUUUCCCCUACCGCAAGCGUUUGCCUGCAACUUUAAACUGAACCAGCAAGUUAUCAUGUCAUUUGUUACAAAGUAAUGCUUAGAAGACUAAUUUCAAAAGGGCAAGAGUCCAAUAUACUUUCAGAAUUUACAAUUUAGAUUAUCUUUUCUAGUACCAAUUCUAAACACAGCAAAACAGUUUAGCUCCUGUUAUUUAAGCUCACAGUAUUUCAACCAAGAAUUGUUCGCAUGUCAUAAUAUUUUUUGUAGUCGUGAUCCCAGUAGUAUUUAGUUGCGCAUUUAGGAUAUCAUAGUUAAAGCUAAACAAGAAUUGUCCUAGCAUAAUUUACCUUUCAGAAGCUUACAGUAGUAAUGUAAAUAGAGAUGGCUGAGACAUAAUUUUGUAGCAGAUCACAUCAGAGAGGCAAUAGAUUACAUCUGAAAUCGCCCAGUUAAAAUUAUGUGUCAGCCAUAUGAAUCUCAACACCAAAUAACAAUUAGAAUCUGGACUGAUAGGUCGCUUCUCCCAUUUGAUUUUUGCCUGACAUUCAAACCUAAAACUAACUAAUUCUACUUUAUUUCCAAAGAAGAGGUGAAUAUGACAAUACGAUCUAUCAAACCAGUACACUGACUCAUAGCUCGAUGUCAAAACACCAUGGCAUUACUUAACAGGCAAAACACAAAUGCUUAACACCUGGAACAAGGGAAGAUGAGGAUACUAACCUAUAAAUAAGGCCAUCUUUAUACAACCCGACAAAAGCUUCAAUUACAGUUUUGACCUUUACUCAUCCAUUGUAAAGGACUGACACACGAGGUGGAAAUUAAGUUGACAUUAGGAGUUGGAACUAUAGACAAUACAUUGUUUAUUUGUUUUCUUUAUUUUUCUUAACUAAGGAAAAUAAGAAGUAUACCUCACGGACCAAUCAAGGGAGGUGCCAAGCCUACAUAAUUGAUUUAGUAUGGCACCACCAAACUGAUCUUUCCAUUCCAGGACCUGUACAAAAGAUGAUAAGAGGAUACACCAAGUGUGCAAAGAAAUAAGCUCACUACGAUUCAUGGCGCAUCACACAUGACACUGCUGAUUGUGAAUUUCAUAAAUAUACAGAACACUGAAUCUACACUAUUUACACCUUCUACCAUACAUUGCCUGGACAAACAAAAGAAAAGGCAACCAUGAGUUAUUUCAACUGGUGUAGGCAAUGUACUUAUAACAGAGCAACAUCACAGCAGUUCUAGUUAUCAGGACAAGACUAAAGUGUAGCUUAAAACCAUAGUUAACUAUAUGUAUAUUUCAGUUACUUAAAAUCAAGAUAGUAGACUUGUUCCUAACCCUUGUUGUGAUUAGUGGCCAUGUGCAUGACUAAACCUGAGAUAAUGAUUCAUUUGCAAAUUCCGCAGACACGCGUAUAUUAAACCAGCAAGUUACGGCAGCCUAAUUGUCCAAAAGCAAGAGCUUAACAUGUUCCCAUAGAUGCCCAAUUCAGGCCGUGCAGUCACAAAUAAAUGCCAAGCAAGAGCUUAACAUGUUUCCAUAGAUGCCCAAUUCAGGCCAUGCAGUCACAAAUAAAUGCCAUGCCAGACUCUAGAAAAUUUGAUAUUAAGUCAUGUCCCAUCAUCUUCUUUGUAGUUUUAACUUUGAUGCCACAAUUAUUUAUCCAAGCUACGGCAUUGGAAGAUUAUCGUGAAUUUCCUACCCAAGUAUAAAGUACUAAAGAUGGUCAUGUGAGUCAAUUAUAUAUAUUGUAGGCAAAAUUCAGCAACAAAGGUAAUAAGCCUAGUGAGAGACUGGAUAACAGAAGAAACCCAAUCAACCAAGUCAGAGACAUAGAGACCAUGUUCAGGAACUUCUCACUAAAGUAACAAUGUGUGCCGUUUCAUAUUCACAACACACUGGUUGAAUAAGUUCCUGUAAAAGAUAUCUAAAUUGUGUAAGGCUGCCUAAGUCUAGCCAAAAUGAAAGAAAAAUGUGCAUUUACCAAGCAUGUGGUAAGAAGAUAAGAAUCCACCUCGGAUAAAUAAGACACUCUGCAAGAGAAAGGAGAAUUGACCAAUUCAUGCACAGACAAUCUGAGAAUUGCUCCCAGCAUCCAACACAAAGAUCUGGAUGGCACCCAGCACCUAUCCAUCCUUACGAAGACCUUAAAAUUACAUUCAACGUCCAAAGGGGGGAUAACAACCAGUACUUGUACUUACCAAGACCAAAAAGAGGCAACAAAAAAGACAAGGCAAGCCGAGCAUCUGUUUUAAUAAGUACACAUCAAAGUAGCAAGGCAAAAGUUGGUACAUCUUGGUUGUAGUUUUCAUGAUCAGUGGGAAUAUCAUCCCACAAUAAUUAGACAACAUUAUUAACUCUAUGCCCAAACCAUAUUGCCAUCAGUCUUCAUGUAAGGCACUUUUCGGUUUAACACGUGGACUGGAAGGCAAUAUAAGCCAUUCUCUGAACCUUCAUGCAAAAAAUUAAUCAUCCAAAAGUGGAAGUGGCUGACUAACAGCACAUAGUUGACCAAUUACACAUAGCUGAAAAACAGUACUAAUUCUAAAAUGGUAGAUCGGCACAUUUAUCUACCAAAUGGUAUGGUAAGAAUUGGAUAACAUGAUAAAGAUAAGCAACUAAAAUUGUAUAAGUUAUGCAGCUCAAACCUUCAAAAUAUUCAAUAAACUGAUGUACUGAAAACAAUGUCACCUUUGCUUACCUAAUUUAGAUCAUGCCAUCGAUCCACAUAGCAAAGAUCAAUCAUGCCACUUGUCGAAAUGAUGCAGCCACUGCCAAUAGUAAAGCUCUCUCCACAUAUCCCUACCGAAGUGAAAAAUAAGAAAAUUAAAUUUUCUGUAUAAAAUCACACUUAAAUAAGCAAAUUAGAGGCAAUACGCACCAUACCUUGUGGAGCCAAGAGAUGGAGACGUACCUUCCAUGGCUUGAUCAGAGAGCAAGCCAACAAGAGGAGAAGAGAAAGUCCACAAC